CCUACGGGGGGCAGCAGUGAGGAAUAUUGGUCAAUGGACGCAAGUCUGAACCAGCCAUGCCGCGUGCAGGAAGACGGCCCUAUGAGUUGUAAACUGCUUUUGUACGAGGGUAAACGCAGAUACGUGUAUCUUUCUGAACGUAUUGUACGAUUAAGGAUCGGCUAACUCCGUGCCAGCAGCCGCGGUAAUAUGGAGGAUUCAAGCGUUAUCCGGAUUUAUUGGGUUUAAAGGGUGCCUAGGCGGUCGGGUAAGUUAGAUGUGAAAUCCCGAGGCUCAACUUCGGAAUUGCCUCUGAUACUGUUCGGCUAGAGAGUAGUUGCGGUAGGCGGAAUGUAUGGUGUAGCGGUGAAAUGCUUAGAGAUCAUACAGAACACCGAUUGCGAAGGCAGCUUACCAAGCUACUUCUGACGUUGAGGGACGAAAGCGUGGGGAGCAAACAGGAUUAGAUACCCCUGUAGUC
rnacentral:rRNA from 1 species